GACGAACGCUGGUGGCGUGCUUAACACAUGCAAGUCGAACGGAAAGGCCCUGCUUUUGUGGGGUGCUCGAGUGGCGAACGGGUGAGUAACACGUGAGUAACCUGCCCUUGACUUUGGGAUAACUUCAGGAAACUGGGGCUAAUACCGGAUAGGAGCUCCUGCUGCAUGGUGGGGGUUGGAAAGUUUCGGCGGUUGGGGAUGGACUCGCGGCUUAUCAGCUUGUUGGUGGGGUAGUGGCUUACCAAGGCUUUGACGGGUAGCCGGCCUGAGAGGGUGACCGGCCACAUUGGGACUGAGAUACGGCCCAGACUCCUACGGGAGGCAGCAGUGGGGAAUAUUGCACAAUGGGCGGAAGCCUGAUGCAGCAACGCCGCGUGCGGGAUGACGGCCUUCGGGUUGUAAACCGCUUUCGCCUGUGACGAAGCGUGAGUGACGGUAAUGGGUAAAGAAGCACCGGCUAACUACGUGCCAGCAGCCGCGGUGAUACGUAGGGUGCGAGCGUUGUCCGGAUUUAUUGGGCGUAAGGGGCUCGUAGGUGGUUGAUCGCGUCGGAAGUGUAAUCUUGGGGCUUAACCCUGAGCGUGCUUUCGAUACGGGUUGACUUGAGGAAGGUAGGGGAGAAUGGAAUUCCUGGUGGAGCGGUGGAAUGCGCAGAUAUCAGGAGGAACACCAGUGGCGAAGGCGGUUCUCUGGGCCUUUCCUGACGCUGAGGAGCGAAAGCGUGGGGAGCGAACAGGCUUAGAUACCCUGGUAGUCCACGCUGUAAACGGUGGGUACUAGGUGUGGGGUCCAUUCCACGGGUUCCGUGCCGUAGCUAACGCUUUAAGUACCCCGCCUGGGGAGUACGGCCGCAAGGCUAAAACUCAAAGGAAUUGACGGGGCCCCGCACAAGCGGCGGAGCAUGCGGAUUAAUUCGAUGCAACGCGUAGAACCUUACCUGGGUUUGACAUGGAUCGGGAGUGCUCAGAGAUGGGUGUGCCUCUUUUGGGGUCGGUUCACAGGUGGUGCAUGGCUGUCGUCAGCUCGUGUCGUGAGAUGUUGGGUUAAGUCCCGCAACGAGCGCAACCCUUGUUCACUGUUGCCAGCACGUUAUGGUGGGGACUCAGUGGAGACCGCCGGGGUCAACUCGGAGGAAGGUGGGGAUGACGUCAAGUCAUCAUGCCCCUUAUGUCCAGGGCUUCACGCAUGCUACAAUGGCUGGUACAGAGAGUGGCGAGCCUGUGAGGGUGAGCGAAUCUCGGAAAGCCGGUCUCAGUUCGGAUUGGGGUCUGCAACUCGACCUCAUGAAGUCGGAGUCGCUAGUAAUCGCAGAUCAGCAACGCUGCGAUGAAUACGUUCCCGGG
rnacentral:rRNA from 1 species